AAACAUAUUCAGAGGGCAUUUUUUCAGCAUUCUCUUGUGCUUCUCCCAGACUUCAUAAAGGAAUUCUCCAUCUUUCUAUAUGAAGGUAUGGAUAUCAUGUCUUAGCUU